rnacentral:lncRNA from 1 species
UAGCUCAGUUGGUAGAGUGUUUGCUUCGCAUGCACAAGGCCCUGCGUUCAAUCCCCAGCACCACCACUAAAAAAAAAAAAAAAAGAAAUGCCUCUUUAUUCAGGAAAUACUCAGGGCACAAAUCUUCCCAAAAGUCACUGACCCCAUGAAAUUGGGAUGGGGGCGUCUUCUUUAAGCAAGCCCCUUUCCCAUCCAGCGGGGCCAGUACCACCUCUCAGAUCAGAGACUCAGAAAUGGUUGUCCCCCCCCCCCCCUGGGGACAGUGGCUCCUGUUGGAUCUUCUCUCCAACCCCAGACGUGAAAACACAAGUGCCUCUCUGAGGGUGUGCAUCUAGAGACUGUCCUGUGUGUGCGUUUGGUUCAUGUGGGUUUGUGGGUUUUCUUUUAUUUUUAUCUAGUCUACAUGAAGGGGAAGUGAGCACCCCCACGUGCAGGCGGUGUGUCUUGUAGCUUUUCCUAAAGGUCUCCCCAUCCUAAAUCAGUGAUCUCUGAAGUGUCUGGAAGCCCCAGGGCUCAGACACUGUCCUGCCCACCCAGUGUGCCUCCCCUCGGUGUGGAUGUACCCCGUGGACUCGGCGCUCUUCCCCGCCCCCCUUUCUAUAAAUGUCAACCCAGAACUUCUGUGUUGCAAAACCCAGCCAAGUUCCUGUUUUGGUCUUGAUUUUGAAAUAUUCAGUGUGAGAUGGCAGGGGGUGUCGUGAAGAUGGCCGGAGCUGGGCACAAGUUCAACUUUCUGGAAAAGAGGUCGUGGUGGAGAUGGAAAGGUGUUUGCCGAAGAGCCUGACAAAAGAGCAGUAAAUAAAGAGUCCGAGGGGAAAUCA